UUGAGGAAUGUCAUACAUCUCGAGGUCUAACUUGAGAUUAUUACAUUUUGACUUUUCUUCCGAGACAUCAGUGCACACACGCUUGAAUUUAUUGGCAAAAGGAUGGUUUGAAGAGAAUGAGAACUAUUUGGAAUGGUUUGGAAGACUGGGACCAGCACAUGGGUACUUCAAUCCUCAAAGGAGCCGUAAUAUGUUAGUGCCAAGACGAAGCACAAUAUAUCAAAAUGAGCUGGGGUUUGGAUCCAUGAAAAUUAGGGUGGCACAAAAUCAAGUGAGACUUGCAAAGUUGCCCCAGUCCUAGGAUUAUGGAUUGAUGAAAUUUUGUGUGAGACUUACAAAGUUGGCCCAAUUUUUUUCGUGGUAUGGGUUGAUGAAAAAUUCGUGCAAGGUUCACAAAGUUGCCCCAAUUUUUCUUCGGCAAGGGGUUCAAUUUGGAAGAGGUAGUGGGUAUGAAAAGGAUUGGCUAAAAGGACGACCCCAAUUGGUUUGAUCUUCUUGUACAUGUUGCUUGCUAGUUUGCAAGGAGAUCCCCUCUUCCCGAUACAUUACUUUUUUCUUCUUCUUUUUUCAAUUCUUUUAUCUUUCUUUUUUUUUUUUUACGACACAUUGAAAGUCAUUUCGCCUUAUCGCAAAAUUAAGCUUUAUGAAAAAGUGAGCAAACAUUAUCCAAUCUGUGUGGGCUUUAUUAGGCUUGUAACGUGGCUAAGGGCUAAAAGGUAUUGAAAGAAAGGGUAAAAAGGCCUAAAUGAAUGUUUGGUGGUUAUAUGUUUUUGAAACAAGGGUUAUCAUCUAGGCAUUGCAUCAACUAUUUGACCUUUUGAGCACUUAGUGUUUCCUUGAACUUCAUUUUUCAUUCUUUUUGCUCAUCAUCACUUUGUGAUUUUUUUUUGUUCUUUUUCUUGUUCUUUUGUUCGUUAUUCACUCUUCUUGAUGAAUUCUCUUCGUUUGAUCGUUGAGUGCUCUUAUUUGCGACAUGAGUUGACUCCUACCUGAUGACAACCCUUGCUUGGGGAUGAUUUUGAAAAAGAAUUUAUUUUUGGCUCAAAUGAGGUGACAAUGGAUAUAUUUUUUGUUUUUUAGAUAAAGACAAAAAGGCCACACAUCAUUUUGAACUCUGAUUGCCUUAUUUUCAAAAGAUUAAUUUUGCGACUAGAUGACCUGAACAUUAGUCGUUUUUCUCUUUUUUCUUCCUCUUUCUAGACCGCCCUUUCGGGUUUUCAAUUUAAUGGACUUAUUCUCUUUUUGAAAGUUCCUUUCUUUUCCUUUUUUUUUCUUUUUUUUUACCUUAUAUUUUUUUAUUUUGUCUCAAUAGAUUCGGGGAUCACCCUACUAGCGCAAGCGAGAAAAUUUUUUUUUUGGCCAAGCCAAUCUGCCCCAGUGAAAAUGUUUACUUUGUUAUUGAGAGCAACAACGAUGUUUGUUGAGGGGAAAUCCUUUAUUUUGGAAAAGUAAAGGGCCGAGGUUUUUAAGCAGCAUGUGCACAAACGUCUUGAGAGAAACGUCAAAAUUGUUAUUUUUAUUUAACAUUUGACCUCGGGAAAGUCUGACACUACAACUUUGUUUUUAUUGCCAUUUUUUUUAUAUCAUUUUUUUUGCUAUUUUCCAAAAACAAGAGUUUGAAGAUUUGCAAGAAAGACAAAUGACUCAAGAUCGCCAUCAUUUUUUCAAUUUUUUUUUCAAUACCCUUUCAGAACUCGAUUUCCAGCACUACUUGGAGAAACCCUAUAGAGAAAGUUCACAUUUAAAGUCAUGGAUGACGACGCGAUAUCAAUGAACACAGAUCUCUUGGCA
rnacentral:lncRNA from 1 species